GUUGCCCUCUUGCAGGUUAGACGUUCCCCCAUCAGUGACCCACGCCAGCGAAGGGACAGGGGCCGCAAGAGCUGGAAGGGCAGCCGGGGAGCGAGUUGGUGCUGCUGCUUUUUCUCCUUGCUCGGUGCCUACGAGCAAAAGCAGCAUUGCAGCAAUGUAACACGAGAGCAGCUCUAAGGAAACGCUCCUGUGAACAAGUGUAGCUGACUUGUAAAAUGUGCUGCUGACGGAGAUCCGAGAGGCCCUGGGUGAGGCGCAGAAAAGAGCAAGCUGGGAACUUGGCCCUUUUCAGGGAAUGAACUCAGAAGCCUCGAUAACCCAAGACGCUUCCUCUCCUACCCUUCCUAGCCCAAUUUGGAUACUCCUGCUAGAAUGCCACUUUCAUACAAAGGCUGGCUUCAGAGAAUGUGCGGAGGCAAGAUUUCAUUUUGAGAACUGGAAAAGACUGAAGCUCAAUUACAGAUGGCAGGCAAGUUGGCAAUCCCUUUCAGCUUGUUUUAGGCAUAUAU
rnacentral:lncRNA from 1 species